rnacentral:lncRNA from 1 species
UAACAAGCAUACUGGAUGUAACAAGAUAUGCAGCUAAAAACAUUAAUCAUAUUAAAACUAAUUAAAAACUGAAAAGUUUCUGUGCAUUCCAAGCACUGGGGGCGGGAGGGGGCGGGGAGGGCUUUGGACUGAGCACUGGCGUUUCCUGAGCACAAGCAAAUGCCUGACACAUGGACUUUGCCGAAUUCCAAAAUGUAGCAAAACAGUGCCUGCAUAUUUGGCAGGAAUCACCACCAGUUCAGAUCCCAGACUGUCCACCCUGCUCUCAGGAGAGAAUGAUAAAGCAGUUUCAUGAAGUAAUAGACAGAGUUUGGAAAUGGUGACAAACACAAGUCCUCUGUGUUUCCUGAAGUGGAGCUGAUCUCAUUAGAAGAAAACAUGAAAAACAGAAAACAUCUAAACUGGACUUCAUAAGUCUGAAGUACCCUAAAUCAGUGGUGGUUUUAAGAAAA